UAGCGUAAUCACUUGUCUUCUAAAUAGAGACUAGUAUGAACGGUCCCAUGAGGGCCUAACUGUCUCCUAUGACUACUCAAUGAACCUGUUCUCCCAGUACAAAAACUGGAAUAUACACAUAAGACGAGAAGACCCUGUGGAGCUUAAGACUACACACUAAUAACCCCAUAGUGCCUCUCUUUAGUUGGGGCGACUACGGAACAAAAUAAAACUUCCACGUUACAGGGCACACCCCUUACAAAGGUGCACACACCAACGUAUGCCACCGCACAGACCCAGCAACGCUGACUAACGAACCAAGUUACCCCAGGGAUAACAGCGCCAUCCUCUUUAAGAGCCCCUAUCGUCAAGAGGGUUUACGACCUCGAUGUUGGAUCAGGACCCCCCGGCGGUGCAGCAGCUGCCAAAGGUUCGUUUGUUCAACGAUUAA
rnacentral:rRNA from 1 species